AAUCAACGCUGGCGGCGUGCCUAACACAUGCAAGUCGAACGAGAAAGUGACUUCGGUCACUGGACAGUGGCGUCCGGGUGAGUAACACGUGGGUAAUCUACCUUCGGGUGGGGAAUAACGUCUCGAAAGAGACGCUAAUACCGCAUAAUGCAGCGGCACCUUAUGGUGAAUAGUUGUUAAAGCGGGGGAGUCGCAAGACCUCGCGCCUGAAGAGGAGCCUGCGGCAGAUUAGCUUGUUGGUGAGGUAAUGGCUCACCAAGGCUGCGAUCUGUAGCUGGUCUGAGAGGACGGCCAGCCACACUGGCACUGACACACGGGCCAGACUCCUACGGGAGGCAGCAGUGGGGAAUUUUGGGCAAUGGGCGCAAGCCUGACCCAGCAACGCCGCGUGAGGGAGGAAUCCUUCGGGAUGUAAACCUCAUAAGUAAGGGAAGAGCGCGGAAGAUUGAAUACAUCUUCCG
rnacentral:rRNA from 1 species